rnacentral:rRNA from 1 species
UGGGGGAUAUUGCACAAUGGAGGAAACUCUGAUGCAGCGACGCCGCGUGAGUGAAGAAGUAUUUCGGUAUGUAAAGCUCUAUCAGCAGGGAAGAUGAUGACGGUACCUGACUAAGAAGCCCCGGCUAACUACGUGCCAGCAGCCGCGGUAAUACGUAGGGGGCAAGCGUUAUCCGGAUUUACUGGGUGUAAAGGGAGCGCAGGCGGUUUGGCAAGUUGAGAGUGGAAGCAGGGGGCUCAACCCCCUGACUGCUCCCAAAACUGUUAAACUUGAGUAUGGGAGAGGCAGGCGGAAUUCCUAGUGUAGCGGUGAAAUGCUUAGAUAUUAGGAAGAACACCGGUGGCGAAGGCGGCCUGCUGGACCAAAACUGACGCUGAGGCUCGAAAGCGUGGGUAGCAAACAGGAUUAGAUACCCUGGUAGUCCACGCUGUAAACGAUGAAUACUAGGUGCUGGGAGGCAUAAGCCUUUCGGUGCCGUCGCAACGCAUUAAGUAUUCCACCUGGGGAGUACGUUCGCAAGAAUG